ensembl:lncRNA
AUGGGUCCCCAUGCCCUCACUGCCUUCACCAGGGUUUGGGCAAAGUUCUGUUUCAAAGCCGGGCCCUGGCCAAACCCCCAGAGGCCUCUGAGCCACCUGCAGAGGGACAGCGUAGAGCAGUUUGGGAGGCGGGGCCGACCAGGUAUGGAGCCACCUACCCGCCUACACAGGAGAGCUGCUGGGCUCUGUUGGGAGCUGGGCACAGCGGGAGCCGAGAUCCAGGGCCGAGAUGAGGAGGCCUGGGUGGGGCGGGGCGGGUCACAGGGACAGCAGGGCCCUCUGACCCAGAGACGCAGAGCGCGAGCCGGGCAUCUGCGUCUUCACAUUCGCUCCUCGCACUGCUCCAUCCGCUCAGCGGGGGGCGCUGGUGCGGGGCAGGGGUGGCAGCCAGGGACCUCCUCCCGCGGGGGCCUGCGAUUCCUUAACGUCUCUGCACGCCCGCCCUGGGGGAGGGGCCAGCAGGAGUCAAGUGCACACCGCGGGGGGUCUCGCUGUCCCCUGUGCUGCAUCCUGUUUGCAGGGAGGGGAGACGCCUGCCUGUCCCGCCAAGCGUACGCCUACCUGGGCAACCCACCCCUCCUGCCCACCCCGGGUCUGUGCCUGCUCUGCCCUCUUCCCUGGCGCACCUCGGGCUCCUGAGCCUGUGAACCUCGGGAGGGGUCGGAAACCAGGAGGCAGGAGGCAGCCUGGGGUCAGCGGUGCACACGGCUGGGGCCUCCUGAGGUACGGGUCCCUUCCUGGAGCCAGCUCUUACCGCGUGCAGAGCCCCACCCCUGCCUGCCCCUGCGUGGGGAGGGGAACCCCGGGAGCACCCCGCUUUGGGUAACACCUGACAUCCCCAAACUGGGGCGCCGUGCUCCUGGGGUCAGAUCCGGGGUGCAGAGGGGACAGUGGACCUCGGAAGCCCAUGCAGCUGCCCAGGACCCCACACUCUGCAGGGGCCGCCUGCCUCCUGUGCCCACCGCCCCCCACUUCCCGGGGCCCUGUCCUUUCUUCGGGGUUCCCUACCUGCAAUGAGUUUCCUCCGUCUGCUGCCCGCCCUGCCUGCACGGCUGCUGUCCAGAAUGGCCCUGGGGACCUGAGCCAUCAGCAGCCCCCUCAGCGGGCUCCUCCCGGGACCCGUUGCCCAUCAGACCCUGGACGCAGCCCUGAGGCAGCCUGGGAGGGGAAGGGCCCAGCGAAGCAUUGCCAUGCUGUUGCCCUGGCAGGACGUGGCACCUUGCCCGCGGCUUCCGGCUCGCUCCUAACAGCAAAUCCGAGUCCAGAUCACCAAUGUUCAGCCUAGGCGGCACCUGAGUGCCCUGAUUCACUGUGCACAUGGGUAAACUGAGGCCCAGGCUGACCACAGGGAAGCAGAAGUCGCAGGCAUGGGGGACAGGGCCACCGGAUUAUUGCCGGCCGGGUAUCAGAGGAUGAUGACAAACCCCCUGCUCUGAUCCAUCAGGCUGCUCACCCAUCCCAAAGUUACACUGUGAGUAUCCGGCAGGGCUAGAGGGACAUCCAGUCCCGAUUCCACUCUGACCCCCAGCCUUUAGCUCCCUGCCACAGCCUGGGCCAGAGGGAAGAGUCCAGAGAGUGGCAACAAGAAACUGUUCAAGUUCUGCACUGGCCCUGGUGUGCCCACUGCAGACAUCACUAAUCGAUCCCAGCCCUGCAAUCCUUAUGCAGGCCUCCAGCAGCCACUAUGAGAGGCUGGCCCUGGAAGUGACGUCCACUUGCUGCUCUGGGCCAAGCCAGGUCUCUCUGGGACCACCGUCCUCUGCUCUCGUUCAUCUUGGAAGACCCAAAACUGAUCCAGAAUCCCAGAGCCUCCAGCUAGGAGGACUCUGCCAAGCCCUGGGCUUGGAGGUAGGGAGUUACCUGCCCAGGCACACAGCAAGCAGGUGCAGCAGCCUGCGUUUUGGGCCACGUUGGGGUUCCUGCUCCCCGCCCCAGCCCAAGGCCCACCACACAGCCUCCCUGAGAUGCAAAGCAGUAGGAUACCCCCAGACCUGCCCCGCCAGCUCAGCAGCAACGGAGGCUGGGUAGCUGUCUCCAGGAAGCUUGUCCUAGAAGCUCCGUCUCCCAGAAAGGCCCUGGGGCCUCAGCAGCUCUCACCCACGGGCACAGGUGACCAGGCCAGCGCUGACCAGGGCCCCUCCAUCAGGCAGGGCUCCCCAAGCUUUCGUCCUCUCCCCCAACACCCGGCCCUCCUCACACCUCACUGGGGGCUCCCAUCCCUUGCUUUGAAGAUGACCAUGCUUUAGACCCUGCUGCCCCAUGGAACCCCUCUGGCCUAACCCCAAAGCGGAAGCCCUUCCUGAAGCCCCUGACUCCUCUCCCUCCAGCCUCUGGGGAUCCCCUAACCAGACCCCCCAGGGCACCAGCCCCUCUCCAUGUGUGCUCAGCUCUCCCGGCCUCAGCCACGGCCCCUGUCUCCCGCAUCGCCCUCCGGCCACGGCCCCUGGCUCCCGCAUCGCCCUCCGGCCACGGCCCCUGGCUCCGCCCUCCGGCCACGGCCCCAUCUCUUCCACCUUCUCACCUGAGCUUCCCACGAUGGCCGCCCGGGCCAGGGCAGGGUCGCCAGCAGCCCCCGGGGUCCACAGCGGCCUUGUCCAGAUCCCAUCUGGCGAACGCUUGGCUACUCAGGCCUCUCCCCCUGCUCUCAGGACAGAAUCCAGCCCAGGCACGGCCCCCAAGUCUCUGUGUUCUGGUCCCACCAUCCAGCCUCGUGCCACGAUGCCCAAACUGCCCUCUCCUUGGCUCUGGGGCUCCCUGCUGGCUCAGUCUGCAGCCUCAACAAACAAUCGCAGCGACUAAAUUGACAAAGCGACUGCUUAUCCACAGCUGCCACGCGCCUGCCAGGCGCCAUGCUGAGCGCGGGUCAGCCCACCCCUCCCUUUAACCCCAUUCGUUCACGGCCUCCGAGCACCUGCUGGGCCCACACCCCAGUCCGAGCUCUGGGGAGGCAGCCCUGACCAGUGCAUCACUGGUCUGAUUAGACGGCUGUGCAAACACGGAGAUCCAGAGAGGCCAGGUGGCCUGCCUGGGCCCACACAGCCACGAGGUGGACUCCAAAUCCCACAGCCACACCCCCGCCCCGUGUCCUGACCUCCUGGCGGGCCACCCACCCCAGCCCCAGCCCCUCGAGCCCAGCACCCUCAGUGCUUUGUUCUCCUGGGGAGCCCCGCCUGUCCUCCCCGCCACCCGGCCGCCAGCCCGGCUGCUGCCUCCCUGGGAGCGGCUGCCAAGCCGUCAGCUCCCAUCAUCACCCCAAGGCAGCCAGAGGGAGCGCGGGCAGAGUCUCCGCACCCUCCUCCCUUCCCCCCACCGGCAGGGCGGGCACCCAGCCCGUGGCUGUGGAAGGGGGAGGGAGGGUCAGUGCUGGGGAAUGCUACCCUUCCUGGUGCAAAACAGGGAACUGAGGCUGGGGAGGAAACUUCCAACUCAGCUGAAUGGGCCCAGCCCGCCCACCCUCAAGGAGGAGUCUGGACGGCAGGGCCGUGCUGGAACGGACCCCCACGCAGCGCCCGGCUCCCUCGCGGGUACUCAUGGCCCCCGCCCUGGACGCUGAACCAGCAGCCGGCCCCGGCUGGACACUGAACAGCCCAGCUCCCGGUGGGCGUGGGGCUGCACGGGGCCCCACUGUUGGCCACCUGCUGGUGCUGCUUCCCCCCCAGUGUGGGCGCUGGGCCAGCUCUGCACAGUGGUUGGGCCAGGCCCCUGGAGUCUGACCUCCACGCCCGGGCCCCAGCUCCAGGCUCCCAGGCAUCAGGGACCGAGCGCCGAGAUCCAGCCCAGGGUCAAGCGUCCGUCCGCAGUCUCUGUCCAAGCCAUUGCUUCCUCCGGCAAACUGAUUCCCACUCUUCCCGGUCGGGCUGGCAGCAGGUGAGAGGGGCUGCACACGGCCCCUGGCCCACCCACCUCCGGCCGCCCCUCUCAGGAUGCGGAAGCCCCCAGGGAGGGGGCCGCCUGCCCUGUCUGGGGCCCCACAUGCCUUUGGCAAAGCCCUUCACCGUCUGCCACCUCAGGGCACCAGGGAGGAAGGCGGGCAGUGCCAGGACUGCAGCCGCCAGCUUCCUGCCGAGGGGCUGGAGGGUCGGCGCCGGGACAGGGGAGAGGGGCCGGCACCCCUCCUGGCCGUCUGAAGAGCUUCCAGAAAGAGGCUGUCAGCUGGGAGGGCAGUUGGUUCAAGGACAGGCGGAGGAAGGGAAGGCCCCAGGCCCCACAGCUGUCAGUAACCCCUGGCUCCGCCUCUAGGGCCCCGCCUUCCGCAUUCAGAAUCGAGGGAGAGAAUCCCAUUGGGUGGCACUCGGGUCAGGUGUCCAGCGUGGACCAAUCAUCCAUGGCGGGGGUGGAGCCACAUAGCACAGUCUUGGGCGGGGCAUUCGCUGAGAGAUGCUUCCCACUGAGCAGAUGGGUGGCUGUGUCCCAGUGCCCUUGACCCCAACCCAGAGGACUGCCCUGUGGCGGGAGGGGGCCAGGUGUGUCCCGGUGAGGGGAGGCUGGGGGGCCCCAACAGGGGUGCUUACCGAAAGGCCUGGGGUAUCUCUAGGAGAGGGUCACUCAUGGGGCUGGAACAACAGAGGGGGAAGGAGGAGCCCACUGUGGCUUGGUGGGUAAAGCCGCCGCCUGCGGUGCCAGCAUCCCACGUGGGCGCCGGUUCAAAUCCCAGCUGUUCCACUUCCGAUCUCCAUCUCUGCUGUGGCCUGGGAAAGCAGUGGAGGAUGGCCCAGGUCCUUGGGCCCCUGCACCCGUGUGGGAGACCCAGAAGAAGCUCCUGGCUCCUGACUCUGGCCAUUGCAGCCAGUUGGGGAGUGAGCCAGAUGGAAGAUCUCUCUCUCUCUCUCUCUCUCUCUCUCUCUGCCUUUGCUGCUGCCUCUCUGCCUCUUCCUCUCUGUAACUCUGCCAUUCAAGUAAAUAAAUAAAUCUUAAAAAAAAAAAAAAAAAGGUAG